rnacentral:rRNA from 1 species
GAAGCGCGGGGACAGCGGCCUGGGGAAGACGGGGGGUGGGAGCGGUAAUCGGAAUUGCUGGUGGUAAAGCGAGGUGAGGUGGCUCAUUAAGUCACAUUGUAAAUCCCCGUGCUUAACCUGGGAACUGCAUGUGAUACGGGUGGGGCUAGAAGAUGUGAGAGGGAAGUAGAAUGCCAGGUGUAGCGGUGAAAUGCGUAGAGAUCUGGAGGAAUACCGAUGGCGAAGGCAGCUUCCUGGCAUAAUAUUGACACUGAGAUUCGAAAGCGUGGGUAGCAAACAGGAUUAGAUACCCCAUUGGUC